rnacentral:rRNA from 1 species
AAUAGAUACCCGGGUAGUCCACGCCGUAAACGAUGGAUACUAGCUGUUUGAGCGCAAGUUUGAGUGGCUAAGCGAAAGUGAUAAGUAUCCCACCUGGGGAGUACGGGCGCAAGCCUGAAACUCAAAGGAGUUGACGGGGGCCCGCACAAGCGGUGGAGCAUGUGGUUUAAUUCGAUGAUACGCGAGGAACCUUACCAGGGCUUAAAUGUAGAUUGACGUAUUUGGAAACAGAUAUUUCUUCGGACAAUUUACAAGGUGCUGCAUGGUUGUCGUCAGCUCGUGCCGUGAGGUGUCAGGUUAAGUCCUAUAACGAGCGCAACCCCUGUUGUUAGUUGCCAGCGAGUAAUGUCGGGAACUCUAGCAAGACUGCCAGUGUAAACUGUGAGGAAGGUGGGGAUGACGUCAAAUCAUCACGGCCCUUACGUCCUGGGCCACACACGUGCUACAAUGGCCGGUACAGAGAGCAGCCACUUAGCGAUAAGGAGCGAAUCUAUAAAGCCGGUCACAGUUCGGAUCGGAGUCUGCAACG